rnacentral:lncRNA from 1 species
CGAGAGAAUGCCCCUGGGGUGCUGUAGCUGAGGUGGACAGCCCUGGGGCAGAGGGGGCUGGGGUGGCCCGUUCUCCAGCCUCCCAUCCUGUGGCUGGCCUCCCUUUGUCACCUGCCAAGGGACCCCGUUGCCUGCUGGCCUGUGGUGGCUUCCCCUUGGAGGCCCUGCCCUCCUCUUGGGGUCCCCACUGUGCAGUUGGAGGACUCGAUGCAGGGCCCAAGUGGAGGCUUCCUGGGGCGCCCGCCCCCCUAACUACCCCAGGCAAGUGCGAGCGGGAAUUUUGGGAGCGUUGAGGCUGGCAGACCUGGCCCAAACUCUCCUCUCCCCUCUCCGUGCCCCCCACCCCAGGAAAGUAGGUCCCAAGCCCCCUUGCACCCAGUGUGACAUUGGGCACCAGGUCUGGGUUUUCACGAAGAGCUCUGCUUUGCCAAGGACAAUGAGGGCCACGGUGCACUGGGGACACCAGCUCGGGUCCACGGCCACGUGGGUUCUGGCCCCUCGGACGCACCAGACCUCUGUAGUCAGCCCCAGCAAGGCGGUCCUGGAGGAGAGAGAACACGAGCUCCCAGAAGACCUCUCUGAUGGCCUCGCCCACCCUGGGUAAACCCGGAGAGGGAGCCUGGAGCCCAGGGAGCUGGAUGCUGGACAAGGGCCCUUUUCUGCUCUGCACAAUGCCCCAUUGUGCCCUUCUCUGGGGAGAACAAUGCAACUCGGGCUGGGAGAAGCUGAGGACAAAGGGCCCUUUGUGAGGCCUGUCCCCACCUGAAAAGCAGCACCCAGGGUCACACCUGAUGGCAGGGCUGCCCUUCCGUGCCUUCCGUCCCCUGAGCACCUCCCGCAUCCGGGGGAUGCCUGGACACUCGAGCGGGCUCAGGGCUCGGGGCGCUGGCUUCUCCCUGCUCUCCCAAACAGCUGUGCUGGCCCACCCCAAGCGCAGGAGCCGGAUGCUGGAGAGGAGAGGCACGUGUUGCGGGAGGACCUGGAAGUGUGGACCAGGAACACCCGUCCGUCUGAGCCCGAGGCUGGGAGCCCUUGGGCACACACCUUCCUGCUGAUGGCGCACCAGGAUGCAGAUGCUUGUCCCCCCACCCCCCAAGGCGAUCUGUUACACAGCUGGGCUCUGAAGAGAGGGUUUUUCAUGGCCCAAUAAAAAAGGAGGGGCCACUUAAGAAAAACUCAUAAGAUGCACAUUUGUGCUGUUAUCCACUACAAUGCAGGUGUGGGACAGCUGGAGGCUAAAGAAGGGGCCAGAGGUUGGUGGUCUGGCCUAGAUUUGGGGGAGCCUAGGUCCUCAUGGAGCUUACACUGCAUGUGGUAAAGAUCUCAUUUAUAAGCAAGAAAGACUGCUCAUUUGACCACACAACUAUCAAUCAUUUAUAUGUCAAGAUACCUGGAACAAGAAGUCAAAACAAAAACCCAGGACAAACAUUUACCAUAUACACACAAAAAUAGGGUCUUUAAUAUGUAAAGAGCUGUGAAGAAUGAAAAACCUAC